rnacentral:tRNA from 1 species
AGCCCCGCGGUGAGAGCACACCAAAAUGCAAGUUUGGAGACGUACCCUAACGGUGCCGGGGCUU